CUUUUUAAGCUCUUUUCCUUGACAAUGGGUCUGGUCGUCUUCUGUGGCGUCUAUAUCAUGUUCUGUAAACCUAUAUCUUGUUCUUGCUCUAUAAUCCUAUCUUUUUGUCCUCAAUAAACCUCAUUUUCAUGCUUGCCUUAAAAAAUAAAAAAUAGCUUCUUCCCUUUUGCGGCCAUCGCCAGAGUGGCAGCGGCCAAAAUGAAGUUCAAUCCCUUUGUGACUUCGGACCGAAGCAAGAACUGGAAAAGGCAUUUCAAUGCACCUUCCCAUGUUUGCAGGAAGAUUAUGUCUUCCCCUCUUUCCAGAGAGCUGAGACAGAAAUACAAUGUUCGAUCCAUGCCCAUCCGAAAGGAUGAUUAAGUUCAGGUGGUUCGGGGACACUAUAAGGGUCAGCAAAUGGGCAAAGUAGUCCAGGUUUACAGGAAGAAAUAUGUCAUCUACAUUGAACGGGUGCAGCAGGAAAAGGCCAAUGGCACAACUGUCCACGUGGGCAUUCACCCCAGCAAGGUGGUUAUUACUAGGCUUAAACUGGACAAAGACCGAAAAAAGAUCCUUGAACGGAAAGCCAAAUCUUGCCAAGUAGGAAAGGAAAAGGGCAAGUACAAGGAAGAAACACUUGAGAAGAUGCAAGAAUAAAAUAAUCUUAUGUACAACCUUCAUUAAAAACUGCUAAAAA